GAACACGCCGAGCCACGCUGUUCUCCCACCUGCGAGAUCCACCCUGGUUGUGCGGACGAGCUCGCAGUCGGCUUCCUUCGUUGGAGCAUGCGCAGUGUGCCGUAGGACGACAGGUGCGCGCCGUUCGCCACGAAUCGCUUAGUUUCGGGUAAGCGUACGAAUCGGUCGUAUCGCGUCGUGCCACCACGUCUCGGGGUACGUCACUCGGUCGUGGUCUGCCUCUGUUUCGGUUAGUCGUCGUGGUUCUUCGGUCAGACGCACGCACACGACACGUCUGAUAACCUUCUCUACGGUAUCAAUUUUUUUUCUCUCCAUUCACGUCAUUCGAAUCGCGGGAUAUCCUUCGGCCGCGGGAUAUCGCGGAUCCUCCCCCUUACGGUUGUCGACGCCCUGGACCCGGCUGUCCUUCUCUGCCGUGCAGUUUCUCUCGGUCUUCCUCGACACCGUGGCCGGUCGCACAGUUGCCCGCCGUUUUAUCGAGCGUGCACGUGUUUCGCGACAAUUCUCGCGCUCCGUUGACACGCUUCCGGUUACGCGACAGAUCCCUGUGACACGGUGCGACCUUCCGGCUCCUCUCGCGACCCGGUAAUACCCUGUUCUUCGACUCUGUGCAAUUUCUUCGUUUCUUAAUCACGAGCCUCGAUGUUUUGUGACCCUCGUAAUCGACGUGACCUUGUCGAGCCGGGUAAUCGCGAUCGCGCAACCAGUCAUCGUCGGUGAAUUGUGUGUUUGAUCGUGAGUGAAUACAUAUAUCCGAAGGAGCUAAAGUAAUAUUGCCGUACAGUGGUCAGACGAAUGUGGUGCGUGUGAAAUAUUUUGAAUCCCGUAUAAUCGUUCGUCGCGAAGUUGUCGCUGAUCUACCGAGAUGGCCAGUGAACGGGAUUUACCGAGCUGGACUAGGGCAAAGGACACGAUCGCGAUGAUGUUGCUGCUGCUCCUGCAACUUCACCAGGGCGUUAAAGGGAGUACCGAACCGUGGCUAAAGAGCGAAAAGCACGCCGAACUCGGAACAGAGGUGCAACUACCGUGCAUUCUGAAAUCGCCGCAAUGCGAAGGGCUUCACAGCAUCAAAUGGUAUCGCGGUACCACACGUAUCUUCAUUUUCAGCGAGGACGUUGGAAUAACGCGAGGCAACAACGAUAUAGCCAUCAGAUCGGAUAUAGAGUACACGACAAAUUCUUCGAAGACUUACUUGAAGAUACCAGACGUCAAGUUGGAAGAUGAAGGGCUUUAUAAAUGUGAAGCUACGUACAUGGCUGUGAACCGAGAGUGCAAUAAUGUUCAGCAUAUCAUACUAAAUGUCACCGUGCAACCACCGUUCGUACGUGUCAUCGACGAGAACACGAAGAGCACGUUAAGCACCGGUGCCACUUUAGGACCUAUAAACGAAGGUUCGACCAUUUCCUUGUACUGCGAGAGCGGCGAAGGGAAACCUGUGCCUACGGUCGAGUGGUUUAAAGACGAUCAACCACUGGAAGCUACCAGCUCGUCGACGAUCGCGGACAACGGGAUAGGAAAUGCAAGCAGCUUACUGCAGAUGCAAAUCACACGCGACGAGCUAGAUGCAACUUUCACGUGUAAAGUCAACAGCAUAGCACUCCCCGAGCCCCUCACCGUCGACAUCAAGCUCGAUGUUCAUGUUCGACCAUUGAAGAUGGAUUUAAGCGGGGUAAUAGGCCACGUGGUGCAAGGAACAAAGAUCCUGCUUGAAUGUACCGUACGAGCGGCUAGACCGGCAGCAAAUGUCACCUGGCAGAAUGGUACCGAGUACUUAAACGACAGCAACGACAGAUUCACAUUGUUCGAGACGAAGGUGCACGAGAACCCGGAUGGCACGUCAGAAACCAUAAGUCAUCUAGCUUUUACAGCCUCGGAGUACGACAAUGGAAGAACGUUCAAGUGUUACGCUGAAAACUCGGUCACGCGUUCCGAGGUUCUGAAACCCAUGAAAGAAUCAAUGACGAUCGAAGUUUUAUAUCCACCUAUAGUCAGUAUUCAGCCAGAAAAUAUUACAGUGAACGAAACUGAGGAUUUUAUAAUCUUUUGUGAUUACGAAGCUAAUCCAGCUAGUCUGACAGAAGUAAUAUGGUUCCGAGACGACAAAGAAUUAGUUGUAACCGACGACCACUACGAGGGUGGAAUAACGGAACAAACAGCCCUUACCGUGAAAAAUGCGACACUUAGCGACAUGGGCUCUUACAGGUGCAUUCUACACAAUAAUGUUGGUCCAUCCGUUUCAGAGGACGUCGUCGAAGUCAACGUAUUGUACAAACCGGUAGUCGAAGUGGUAAUGGAUCCGGAAACACCGGUGAACGAGGCGGACCGCUUGAAUGUCUCUUUGACUUGCGAAGUUGUUUCUGGAAAUCCAGCAAGCUUGACCGCUGUCCGAUGGUACUUGGACGGGGACCUGCUGAAAGAACUUCCGGAUUGCACGAGAAAUAUCACAGCGACCACCACAACCACCGAGGAAUCUUUAAUUUUCUGCGAUAUCGAUCCGAGUAAACUGCUGCUAGAGGCAGUGGGUCGUUCCUUUCAUGGGAAUUACUCUUGCGAGGGUAGAAACGACGCUGGAUGGGGACCACUUUCAGCCAGUGCACCUGUCAUAGUCUAUUACAAGCCUGGACCGGCUUCGAUCUCGUACGAGCCCCAGCAGGUAAUAAAGAAGCGACCAUUGACAAUCACGUGCUUCGUACUGGACCCAGGACGGCCAAAGGUAGUUGGCUUCAAAUGGUUUCGAGGCCUUCACAGACUUCCGGAUGAAAACGACGCUACCCUUACCAUUGAAUCGGUUAAUUUGGAAACUGAAGCGAACUUUACUUGUCUGGCUUACAACGAAGCCGGCGACGGGGACCCGGCCACCACGUUUAUCGACGUGUCUGCUGCCCCUGCGUUUAUCAAGAAACUGCUCCCUUAUCACGGCUACGUGUACAAUUCCCCGAACGUUAGUAUCAUGUGCUGGGUCGAAUGCGCGCCGAUCUGCAAUAUUUCCUGGCUGAAGGACGGCAUACUCAUGGAUUUCUCGAAAACGAACCGAUACUAUCUGUCGAACGUUUAUCAUCUGCCCGAUCCACGAACGAACGACUUCGAGAGCAUCCAAUCGACCCUCGUGUGGAACCUGACCGCAUGGCCCUCCGGUCAAUUGGAUAGGGUCGAAGACAACGUGAAAUUCACGUGCGAGAGCAGCAGCAAUGGAAUAGGGCCUGGAGUGAAAAGCAGCACUCAUUUUCACGUUGAAUUUCCUCCGGAAAAUAUGACAAUUUCAAAGAGUAAAAUAAACGUCACCGUGGACACGAUACCGGAAACAGUAACCUGUAACGCGAAAGCACAUCCGGAACCCACUUUUCGCUGGUUUCGAGAGGGUUCAACGGAUACCAUCAUCGAAGGUCGUGUUCUCGAUUUAAAGAUAAAGGUGCCAAGACGUAGUAAUGGUACAUACUAUUGCGAGGCAGCUAAUCGUCAUGGAAGCAGAAAUAUCUCCAUGAUCAUGAAUGUUCAAUUUAAGCCAGAGUGUCACGUGGAAAAGGAACGAAUAGACGGGGUGGAUUACGUGGUAUGCUCUGCGAUAGCAAACCCGAAGGAGACCGAUUUUUUUUGGUCUUUGAAGAGUGACAACGAUACGUUGGAACAAGUUCCCGAUCCUCGCAAUGGAAAAAGCUACAUCCGUCUCGACACAUCGGUAACCAAUUUCCGGACGUACGUUUGCGUUGCGAACAACACCAUCGGCCAAUCGAGCCCUUGCGAGCGAGACGUACCAGCUCACCAUGGACAUCGAAGCCAUAUACCGUGGUGGUACCAAUUGGAAGGAUACCUUCUUCUAAUUGUCAUCGUUGCUGCUGUUGUUAUGAUACUUGUGAUAAUUCUUAUCUGCGUGGCGAUCUUCAUCGUUUGUCGACGCAAACGAAACCAGAUGAAAUACAGUAAUCGGGUGGUCGAGCUGGAGGAACGCGAACAUCCAGACGGUGGACCCCCAAGUCCUACGGUGUCCUCUCAUUCGACUCAAACCACGGUGCACCCAACGCCUGCACCCAGAUGGCCCCUAAAGCCAGGCGUGCUGGUGCACAUCAAUAGAAGCCACAGUCUACGAUCAGGUCUGAGUGUUCGCACUAACGAGACACUGCGAAACGAACUGAUGGCCCGGCAAAACGACGAGCCGAUGGCCGAUCGCUUCCUAAUGGAGGCCACGAUCACCAAAGUGCCUGGCAAAGUGUUCCGCAGGAGGAAGGAAAACUCGCAGAGGAGUCUAACAGUGUCCAGUCUGCAUGACGAGGGUAUGCUUGCCAGAGCUAAUAAAAUUAAGGCCAUGUUUGGAGUGCAACUUAAAGAGCAGGCUACUUUGCCCGGUAUCUCUCGAGAAAAGACAGCUGUGACUUACAAAAGAAUAACACCCAGGCAACGAAUACUGCAUGCAGAAUCGUCGUGUGAUUUGAAUCGAGGCAACAUCUCCCGUAAGCGAAAGAAACCAGGCGCAGAUCCCAAUCAAGCUGCGAAUAACAAUCACGUGAACAGCGUGUCGGAAGGUCUUCCCGAGUCCGGGGCGAAGACGUUUUACGAGAACCUGCCGUUCCAUGGGAUUCAAGCGCCGCCUAACAAGUUGGUUUCCCCUAUGUUUGCCCGAGUUUCGGCUUUGCAUGGCACGUUGCAUCGUUCGGUACCGUGUUCGCCGUGUACCUCACGGCCUCCGAGCAGAACGGUGUCGCUCUGCGACGCGAGUUCCGGUUACGAAUCGACCAGGAGCCACCUAGGCCCUCACUAUAGCGAUUACAACGUGCCGAGGAAUAACUCGCCCGUGCUCAAGUACAACAGCUUGAAGCCACGUCGAAGGAAACACAAACGCUCGCAAUUUUACUCGCUCAGACUUUGCCGGAGGCACGAGAACCAUCAGCACAGGAAGUAUCAGCUUUACGCUAUACCGAUAUAUAAAUGUCCGCACAAGAACGCCAGCACCAGCACGAUCGCGACGAUCGUUAGAUCGGACACCACGUCAACGGCUACCAAUCGAUCUGGUGAAAAUCAGUCGAGUCAGUCGACGCCACCGCCGGUACCAGCGCCAAGGAAAUCCAAGAAAACAGAUCCCUCGAAGCACACUUAUCAAAACGUUCCCCCUCCUGUCUUUCCGCCGAAAAACGCUUCGUUACCUAGGACCAAGACCGAUAGCCUAUACAACUACAAAGAACACUAUCAGCAGCAGCACCGACAGGAAAUGCAGCAGUACAGCUACCCGUUACCGAGCAACAGUUCAAGCCAACUAACACUGCCACUAACGCGCAGCCUCUACCAUUCCUCGAUAGUUAGCCCUUUGCAGACAUCCUUCGUUCAUACUAACAGUCGUCCACCGACGUUGACCCAUCACGAGACGUCGGUGAAUCAUUUGUCAGCCGCGGAGCAUCCCGAAGAGGAGCAACAGCAGCAAAACUACGCGAAUCACGAUGCAAGGCAAUCGCGUCGCCACGGGAAUCGCGCGAACGAGCGUGGUCAGAAAUACCGGAAGCACAAGCGUGGCGAACGGAAACAAAAGGCGAGGCGGGCCGAGACGAGAAGAACGGAUACGUUCACCUCGCCGUCGUGCGAAACCAGCUUCCAUCAAGUCCAGGAACUCGGGAUUCCUGAGACUUACAAGAUAUCGUAUCCGCAUUAUUACGAGGACGACAUCGCGGAGUGUCCUACCGACUAUCACAGAUCGAAUCCGAGUUCGCGUCAGCAGAUCUGGGAACGACAGCCGGCGAAUCGUUGUCCGCCAGAGAGCACGCACUACGCGGAAACCGGGGACGCGAAGAACCGGAACAAGUCGAAGAGGAUGUCCUCGAAUCUUGGCGACGGACGAUCGCCGUCCGCGCCGACGAUAAUGCAGUACGCCGAGCUACACUUCCGGGACGUCGGUCAGGAGAUCGAUGUCUAAAAGGAGGGUCAGCAGACAAAGAGCGAUACGUACAUUUUCUAGGACAAUUUUGGCGUCCGACAUGCCUUCCCUUCAAGCCGGAAUUUUCGGAUCUCG